rnacentral:rRNA from 1 species
ACGAACGCUGGCGGCAUGCCUAACCCAUGCAAGUCGAACGAGACCUUCGGGUCUAGUGGCGCACGGGUGCGUAACGCGUGGGAACCUGCCCUUAGGUUCGGAAUAACUCCCCGAAAGGGGUGCUAAUACCGGAUAAUGUCUUCGGACCAAAGAUUUAUCGCCUUUGGAUGGGCCCGCGUUGGAUUAGCUAGUUGGUAGGGUAAAAGCCUACCAAGGCGACGAUCCAUAGCUGGUCUGAGAGGAUGAUCAGCCACACUGGGACUGAGACACGGCUCAGACUCCUACGGGAGGCAGCAGUGGGGAAUAUUGGACAAUGGGCGAAAGCCUGAUCCAGCAAUGCCGCGUGAGUGAUGAAGGCCUUAGGGUUGUAAAGCUCUUUUACCCGGGAUGAUAAUGACAGUACCGGGAGAAUAAGCUCCGGCUAACUCCGUG